UAAUACGUAGGGUGCAGGCGUUAAUCGGAAUUACUGGGCGUAAAGCGUGCGCAGGCGGUUUGCUAAGACAGGUGUGAAAUCCCCGGGCUUAACCUGGGAACUGCGCUUGUAACUGGCAAGCUAGAGUGUGGCAGAGGGGGGUGGAAUUCCACGUGUAGCAGUGAAAUGCGUAGAGAUGUGGAGGAACACCGAUGGCGAAGGCAGCCCCCUGGGCUAACACUGACGCUCAUGCACGAAAGCGUGGGGAGCAAACAGGAUUAGAUACCCUGGUAGUCCACGCCCUAAACGAUGUCGACUGGUUGUUGGGGGUUUGACACUCUCAGUAACGAAGCUAACGCGUGAAGUCGACCGCCUGGGGAGUACGGCCGCAAGGUUA
rnacentral:rRNA from 1 species